UAAAAAGCCUGGGGGAGUCCACGGACUGAGAGUUCCGCAAUGCGGAGCGACCCUUUGAACCUGAUCCGGCUGAUACCGGCGUAGGGAACGGACCAAUUUGAGCA
rnacentral:ncRNA from 2 species